rnacentral:rRNA from 1 species
CAGCCCUUGACAUCCCGUGUUACCCGUAGAGAUAUGGGGUCCACUUCGGUGGCGCGGAGACAGGUGCUGCAUGGCUGUCGUCAGCUCGUGUCGUGAGAUGUUGGGUUAAGUCCCGCAACGAGCGCAACCCUCGCCCUUAGUUGCCAGCAUUUGGUUGGGCACUCUAAGGGGACUGCCGGUGAUAAGCCGAGAGGAAGGUGGGGAUGACGUCAAGUCCUCAUGGCCCUUACGGGCUGGGCUACACACGUGCUACAAUGGUGGUGACAGUGGGCAGCGAGCACGCGAGUGUGAGCUAAUCUCCAAAAGCCAUCUCAGUUCGGAUUGCACUCUGCAACUCGAGUGCAUGAAGUUGGAAUCGCUAGUAAUCGCGGAUCAGCAUGCCGCGGUGAAUACGUUCCC